UUGAACUCAGUCCAGCAGGGCUGCCUUUACUUUUUUUUUUCCCUACCAGGAAGAAUGCUCCAUUACAUUGUGCUUUGCCUCUCUCUCUCUCUCUCUCUCUCUCUCUCUCUCUCUCUCUCUCUCUCUCUCUCUCAGAAGAUCAGUAACAAUGUUAUUUUCUGAUCAGUUCAGUAAUACAAUGCCCUCUGAUGUUCACACCAGCAUCUCACUGGAGAAGAAAAGAAUGUUGUUGGCUACCUGGGACCAGAAGACUUCUUAGUGAAUCCUGCAAUGGACUGACCUCAUCUUCCCGAGGCUGUGAUGUUUCAGGAGAGUUUCACUAUUGCUGACCAACUGAGACCACCAGGAGCUCCUAAGUGCAAAGAAUGGCUACAUCUUUUCUUCUGGAUACCACCAGAUCAUUCCAGCCACCUGCCUUUGUGGUGUCUCCAGACAAGGGCUGACAACCAUCGAAGCAUCGAAACCCUAAGGCUACUUGGAGAGAAGAAGACUGUCC
rnacentral:lncRNA from 1 species